rnacentral:lncRNA from 1 species
GGUUCUCGAUCGACUGCCUACUGCUAUCCCCAAGCCCUUUGUUUGUCCACAGCGGUUUAAAGACCUCAGUCCAAGCUCAGAUCGGAGAUCAAACUUUGAUUGUAACUCAAAAAAUCUCCCAACCAUCAGAUCAAGCCAUUGGAUCACUCUGAUCAAACCGCACGCAUCUCCAGCCAUUGGAUCAUGCAAAUCUGCACAUGUGGACUGCUAGUAGAUUGAGCUCACCAUGAACCAGACCAAUUCGUGCACCAGAAACCCC